UACUCGACUCCCGUUGGAAAAAAAGCCCCGCGUAUUUAACGGGCAAGAAUAAUAUACAAUAAUAAAAGGGACUUCUUUGAGGGCCAGACGUCGAGGCUUACUUCAUCUUACUCGGUGGUAGUUACACACUUAAAUACUGGAAAUACCUCGUGAUUAUGCUGGGUGAUGACAAUACAUUUUAGAGAAGAAUAUAUACUGGAAGAUUUUAUGGAUAAAUGGACUGACUGGAGGUGAAAGAAGAUAUAGUAAGAUCAAAGGAUUCUUUCUCUGAGGAAGAAUUUUAAAUUUUAAAUCAAAACAUUUUUAAUUAGUUUGUAUUUUUUAAAUUUAUUUAUUGAUGAAGAUUAUAGGGUUGUUUUUUUGAGUUUUUUAAUGAAAAGAGAUAUACGAUAAGGAUAUAUUGGUUAAGGGUUUUUUUCUCGACGAAUAGUGUAGACGAGUGUGCGUGGAAAGAGGGUGCGAAGCGUGGAUGAAAGUCGUGGAUGCAGGGUGUAGUAGAGGGCGAGGAUCGUUUUGUGGUGGCGUUGAGAGUACGCGUAAACGCAGAACGUAAAACACCAAAAACGUAGAAGUGGUUUAUCAUUUUUGUUAAUAUUUUAGUGGGUGUUGUACAUACAGACAACGUUGCACUAUUUAUUUAUAGAAUUUAUAGUUUCAGUAUAUAAUACUAAUUGUUACUGUUGUUGUAGUUCUAUAUCAUGUUUCAAUAAUUCAAAUAAGAGUAAUUGAGCUGUUGUGAAAAAAGAAGAAAUAUUAUGAAAUAAUAAUAAAAGAAGAAAGAAGUAUAUAACUACUUGCUCAAUACAACGUGUGUGUUAAACAAAACGCGACGUUACACGUCUUUUUGACGAGACCUAUGGAUUUUUUGCAGCGGCCUCUUACUACUCGCCGAAUAAGAAAAGACGCCUCAGUUCUUGGGACUUUUUAUUGCUCAGACCGUUAUCAUAACUGUUACUGCUGCUACUUGGACAUGGAUCACUGGAUCUGAACCUGGAGGUGUCACUUGCACACCCUAGUUAACGAUAAACGACUGCUACUGCUACUGCAUAGCCCGACACACUAGAUAUCAUUUUAUCCUCAUCAACAAGCAUCAUCGUCCGGCUGUGUCCAAUGAAUUAACCGACGAAGAAAUACAACAUAAACAGUAAGUUUGGAGCAACAACGGGGGAGGAAGAUAAAUAGUUCUUCUGAUAAAUAUAAGAAGCGGGAGAAGAUAACGAGAUGUAUCGUUACGUUAAAAGCACGUUGUACAUCGGCAUACUUUUUCUCAUAAGUAUUGGAAUCAGUCAUCAACAGGAGGAGGACAUUCCACACAAUGAAGUGAGAAACUGGGCACUUA